rnacentral:tmRNA from 1 species
GGGGGCGAUCGGUUUCGACGGGAUAUGCGUCGUGUUAAAUUGCAUGUCGAGGUCCAGGAUCUCGUUAAUCACCUGGAAAAACCAUAAAUGCCGAUAACGGCUAUAUGGCCGCUGCUUAAUUAAUUAAGUAAGUUGGUCCGUCCUGAAAGUGGUGCGUCUAUGGCUACUUUUAAGGGCGUCAAAUACAUAGACUGGUUCUAAUUUAUGUCUGAGAUAUUAGGAUAAGAAUUAAUCAGACUUUGCUUGUAAUGGCCACGUCAACAGGGCAGUUAUAAGUGAGCUUAAACUGAUUGACUAAGCAUGUAGGUAUUUUUCGGGAUUCUAUUUCGGACGGGAGUUCAAUUCUCCCCGCCUCCACAU